rnacentral:miRNA from 1 species
GUGAGGCUCAGUAUGGGGUGG